rnacentral:rRNA from 1 species
GACGAACGCUGGCGGCGUGCCUAAUACAUGCAAGUAGAACGCUGAAGGAGGAGCUUGCUUCUCUGGAUGAGUUGCGAACGGGUGAGCAACGCGUAGGUAACCUGCCUGGUAGCGGGGGAUAACUAUUGGAAACGAUAGCUAAUACCGCAUAACAGUAGAUAUCGCAUGAUAGCUGCUUGAAAGGUGCAAUUGCACCACUACCAGAUGGACCUGCGUUGUAUUAGCUAGUUGGUGAGGUAACGGCUCACCAAGGCGACGAUACAUAGCCGACCUGAGAGGGUGAUCGGCCACACUGGGACUGAGACACGGCCCAGACUCCUACGGGAGGCAGCAGUAGGGAAUCUUCGGCAAUGGACGGAAGUCUGACCGAGCAACGCCGCGUGAGUGAAGAAGGUUUUCGGAUCGUAAAGCUCUGUUGUAAGAGAAGAACGAGUGUGAGAGUGGAAAGUUCACACUGUGACGGUAUCUUACCAGAAAGGGACGGCUAACUACGUGCCAGCAGCCGCGGUAAUACGUAGGUCCCGAGCGUUGUCCGGAUUUAUUGGGCGUAAAGCGAGCGCAGGCGGUUAGAUAAGUCUGAAGUUAAAGGCUGUGGCUUAACCAUAAUACGCUUUGGAAACUGUUUAACUUGAGUGCAAGAGGGGAGAGUGGAAUUCCAUGUGUAGCGGUGAAAUGCGUAGAUAUAUGGAGGAACACCGGUGGCGAAAGCGGCUCUCUGGCUUGUAACUGACGCUGAGGCUCGAAAGCGUGGGGAGCAAACAGG